AUGUCCAUGCCUUCUUCUUCGUGUUAUGCCUCUUUAAACUCUUUGCCGACUUCACUCAUCUAUACCUUCAAAACUGCUCCAAUUUUCCUUGGUACCAACUUGUACAACCAAUGCCAUAACUUUCUCAUUCACCUAUACAGACCAAGCACCAAUACAUACAUACUGUUUACAAGCCUGCAGACCAUUCAAAAUCUAUAA